rnacentral:rRNA from 1 species
CGGACGGGUGAGUAACGCGUGGGUAACCUGCCUCAUACAGGGGGAUAGCAGCUGGAAACGGCUGAUAAAACCGCAUAAGCGCACAGCACCGCAUGGUGCAGGGGUAAAAACUCCGGUGGUAUGAGAUGGACCCGCGUCUGAUUAGGUAGUUGGUGGGGUAACGGCCUACCAAGCCGACGAUCAGUAGCCGACCUGAGAGGGUGACCGGCCACAUUGGGACUGAGACACGGCCCAG